ACGUGGAUUAUCUGCCCCAAUGACCGGGACAACCCGAGGAAACUCGAGCUAAUACCGGAUGUGCUCUUCGGAGGAAAGGAAGCUUCGGCCUCCGCAUUGGGAUGAGUCCGCGGCGCAUUAGCUAGUUGGUGGGGUAAAGGCCUACCAAGGCGACGAUGCGUAGCUGGUCUGAGAGGACGAUCAGCCACACUGGAACUGAGACACGGUCCAGACUCCUACGGGAGGCAGCAGUGGGGAAUCUUGCGCAAUGCACGAAAGUGUGACGCAGCAACGCCGCGUGCGGGAAGAAGGUCUUCGGAU
rnacentral:rRNA from 1 species